AAUUAAUUCACUAGUGCUUUUAUAGAAUCAUGCACCUAAUGCUCUGUUUUAACUUUAAGUUUCUUAUGCUAAUUAAAAUAAGAACCUAUUGAAAAUCACGUAGAUAAUCUUUCAUUAUAGACCUAAAUUAAUAUAUUAAAUCUGGAUUUCUUUUUUAGGAAUUUUGCAUGUAGCUUCUUGUUUUAAGGUUCAAUUAUCAUAUGAAAAUGACUUAAUUAAGGUUCUUUGGAUAUCAUGUAUGAAAUUUUCUGUUUUGAUUUAAAUUCUUACAAUAACGGGUCUAGGGAAAAUUGUAACAAAAAAAUCUAUGUUAUCGCAAAAUACACCAAAUUACCUUGGUGGAAGUGAGACCCUAGGUACAAGGGGUGGAUAAACCCAUUGGACCACUUUAUGAAGUUGGGAAGAGACCUAAUGGAAGAUCAAAUUGCCUUCGGGAAGGUUUGGUUCCACCAUUAAGUGUCUCUAACCUUAAGCUCACCAGUAAGGGUGAAUUCCAGAAUGGGGACUGGUGGGCACGGGGUUCGUAAUCCAUGGCGGAGAUCAUGCCUGACCAUAAUGACAGCCGUUACGAUCAUUAUGGCUCGAGCUGGACGGAAGUAACGCUCCGAAAUCGGCAAUAUGGGGGUGAAAUCGGAGAGUUCAAAGAGGAAGAUCGGCAGUCUGCCAGACUCUGGCGAUCUUCACCUCAACUCGGCGAUUUUCCACCCUAAUCGGUGAUUUGGUAGACCAAAUCGACGAUUUCGAGAGUUGACUCGGGUCUCGACAAAGAUUUUAGUUCCUCUUUCGUGAGAGACUUCCGAGGGUUCGACAUAAAGCGAACAAAACCCAAGUCCUUGUUGACGGGAGUGAUUGAUGUACAUUCCUAUGUCAACACACAUGCACGGACCCUGACCGUAGUUUAAAGAAACAUAUCGUACAACGUAGACCAACAAGUCUGAUGGCUAAAGAAGCUAACUAUGAUUUUGAACCCUUCGAGGAGUUUGGUCAGGUGCACCGGGGACCUCAGUGUGAAUAGAAUUAGGAACUCGUCCUUGGAGGUUAACGGAUUGGGCGAACCCAUGGGGAUACUCGAGUCUGAACCUGAUGAGGCGAAUGACCUAAUGGGCUCGUCCAAAGGCAUCAGUUGCAUUCUUUCUAGAGCGUGAAUUAAUGAGAAAUCACCGAUUUAACACUAAAUCGCCGAUUUCCUCUUCUAAAGACUUGACGUAGAGAGCAUGUCGUGGAUGUCAGAGCCUCUGGUACGAGAAGGUAGCUGCUCGCACCACCACGAGCAUUGAUAGAAGAUUUUGGUCCUCAUCAAGAGGCAAGAGUAAAUUGUAACAAAAAAAAAUCUAUGUUAUCGCAAAAUACACCAAAUUACCUUGGUGGAAGUGAGGCCCUAGGUACAAGGAGUGGAUAAACCCUUUGGACCACUUUAUGAUGUUGGGAUGAGACCUAAUGGAAGAUCAAAUCAACUUAGAGAUGGUUUGGUCCCACUAUUAAGUAUCUCUAACCUUAAGUGCACCUAUAGUAAGGGUGAAUCCAGGAAUGGGGAGCGGUAGCUAGGCACGGGGUGCCUCAGGCGUCGAGUGAUGUCAGGUUAGUACUGACGAUGAGCUGAGGAGUCCUCGGAGAGACCUUUCCCUCACUAUAUGGUCUAACCCGACCUAAAUAAGAGGUUUGAAGGAGAGAAAGGUAUGUUGGUCGACCUUGGCUUACGUCUAGGGUUUGAACCUAACCCGAUUGGGUCGAACCCAUACACACAUGGGUUGGGAGAAUCACAUGCACGGACCCCGUCGGACCUAGUAUGAAGGAACAUACCAUACAACGUAGACCAACAAGUCUGAUGGAUAAAAAAUUAACUUUGAUUUUGAGCCCUCCCGAGAGUUUGGUCGGGUGCACCCAUGGGAGACCUCAGUGUUAAUGGAAUUACGAAUGCAUCCUUGGAGGUAAAUGGAAUGGGCGAAUACAUGGGGACACUCGAGUCUGAGCCUGACGAGACGAAUGGCCCAACGGGGUAGUCUUGUCGGAUCUCUCACUCGAGGGAUCCGAGUCUGUCUAAACCAUGGACGACAUGAAAUCUAGUUUGGGAGUGGCGAAAUUACUCCUAUCGAUGAGCUCGGAGCCCGAGAUCGUCCAUUGGGGCGAUUGUUAUCAAGAACACAUACCAUAAGUAACGAAUAGUUGAUUAAUCAAUUUGACGAUUUAUUCGUAUUGGGUUUUUGUUUCAAAACUCAUUUUGUCUUUGUCAGGGGCGUAUCCAGGGGGCAAUUGCCCCCCCUAAAAGUUGGAAAAAGUGAAGAACCUAUAUGUAACAAACAAUUUAUAGGGUGUUAAAUGUAAUUUUACAAUAUAUUGAUAUUUUUUAAAGGUUGAUAU
rnacentral:lncRNA from 1 species